ensembl:lncRNA
GUGAGUUGCCCACAGGCCAAGUGGUGGCUGUAGGAGGUCAUUGAGUUCAAGCCUCCUUGUUGGGACUGCAACCAGGAAGAAGCCUUUUGGGGUAGAGGAGGUUAUAGAAUAAGAGAUCAGGGAGGGGCUGUCUUAGGGGCAGUCAUAAAGAGAUCCGGGAGAAAGCUCAUCGCCCUUGUCAAGGAAAUGCUUCGUGGACCAGUCCCUGAAAGGCCUCUGAAGAAUCCCACGUGUUCUCACAAUAGAGCAGGCCUGCCACUCACAACUCACCGUCCCCUAGUAUUCCACGGCAGCAGACAGAAGAUGCCCCCCUUUCCACUGCCAGCCUUCUCCUUGCGGCUCCCUGCAACAUACCCCCACGCUGCAGAGCAGACUCAGCUCAGAAGGGAGGGCGCAGGCUGCGAAGGACGCGAAACUGAAGUUUCUAAUUCGGCUGGGCUUUUGGCUACCUGGAAGUGAGCCUUUAGUGCCAAGGUCUUCUUCCUGUGACUCUGCAGCCAUAGCCUAGGAAACACUCCAAGUUAAUACUUUGGCCACCUGAUGUGAAGAGCUGACUCACUGGAAAGGACCUUGAUGCUGGGAAAGAUUGAAGGCAUGAGGAGAAGGGGACAACAGAGGAUGAGAUAUUUGGAUGGCAUCACCGACUCAAUGGACAUGAGUUUGAGGAAACUCAGAAAGAUGAUGAAGGGCAGGGAAACCGGCUGAGCUGCGGUCCGUGGGGUUGCAAAGAGUCAGACAUGACUGAGGGACUGAAC